CAGCCGCCGCGGGAAUACGAAGGGGGCUAGCGUUGCUCGGAAUGACUGGGCGUAAAGGGCGCGUAGGCGGCUGACACAGUCAGAUGUGAAAUUCCUGGGCUCAACCUGGGGACUGCAUUUGAGACGUGUUGGCUUGAGUGGAGAAGAGGGUCGUGGAAUUUCCAGUGUAGAGGUGAAAUUCGUAGAUAUUGGAAAGAACACCGGUGGCGAAGGCGGCGACCUGGUCUUUAACUGACGCUGAGGCGCGAAAGCGUGGGGAGCAAACAGGAUUAGAUACCCCAGUAGUCCCUGUCUCUUAUAA
rnacentral:rRNA from 1 species